rnacentral:rRNA from 1 species
CACGUAGGGGGCGAGCGUUGUCCGGAUUUAUUGGGCGUAAAGAGCUCGUAGGCGGCUCAGUAAGUCAGGUGUGAAAACUCCAGGCUCAACCUCGAGACGCCGGUGGAAACUGCAAAGCUAGAGUCCGGAAGAGGAGAGUGGAAUUCCUGGUGUAGCGGUGAAAUGCGCAGAUAUCAGGAAGAACACCCGUGGCGAAGGCGGCUCUCUGGGACGGUACUGACGCUGAGACGCGAAAGCGUGGGGAGCGAACAGG